rnacentral:tRNA from 1 species
UGACAGAAGCCAAAAAGAGGCAUAUCACUGUUAAUGGUAGAAUUGAAAAUUUUUCCUGUCAA